AUGCGGUCCUGCAUGUCCCUGGGGGCUCUUUGGAAGGAGGCUGCCGUGCAAUUGGGGUUUUUUUGCUAUUUUAUUUUAACUUUUAAAAUUUAUUUUGGUGUGGAAUGAGGUCUGCCGUGGUUUCUCCUUCAUGGAAAUCCUUCAGCACACCGUUUAAAAGGAAAAUGCUUUAGGGGGAAGCUGUUCUACUGCACAGCGAGAGCACAUGAGAGUGGUCAGUGCACUGCAUGUGUGUGUUUUUCUUCCCUCUGUUUUUUCCCUUUUUCUUUUUUUUUUCCAUUUCCAUGAGUUGGAGAUGACGAUGACUCAUGGCUUGGAAUGCGCUUUAAAUCCCCGAGGUGCUCAUUGCCGCCUACCAUCACGUAUUGAAUUUCUGACAUACCGGAGGGAUGUCUGCAGAGAAACUCUGAUGUGCAAUUACAAAACGUUGUAGCUGUGCGUUGUUUGCAUAGGAGCCAUUAGCAUGGUUGUUGACACAUGUGGACCAACAGUGACAUCCUUCUUCAGCAAUGCUGUCUUUACUCCCUCCUGCAUUCAGAAGCAUCUAGAGAGAUUUCUUGCCAAAGGUAGGUUCUGGCAGUUCAGCUGCAUGGCUGUUCUUUUCCUUCUGUGCUAGAAAAAAGCAUGUAGAUGUUACUAGGGAGAAUGGUAAUGAGUCUCGUGGAGACUAGAGUGCUGCUGCUGAGAGAAGGGAUCAACCUUAGCUUGGGUUGCCUGGAAUAGACUCAGGGGAAAGGUGAGUGAAGUGGAGUCUGGAGGAAUGGCCUGUAGGUUGCCUUAGAGAAGGGUUUGGCAGUCACAGAACGUGGUUGGCUUAUAUUGCAUUGAUGUGGAUUGGUAAUAGAGCUCUUCUUAAAGAAAACUCAUGCUCCACACCUAUUUGUGCUCGGUCAGUGUUCUCAUUUAUUUGAAAUAAUUCAAUUAAAUCAAAAGGGGAAAUGAAAUGGCCAUGCAGGAUGUGUGAUUAACAUACAUUUUGUGUUUAAAUCUUUUGUGGGUCUCACCCCUUCCUCCCCCCCCAAAAAAAAGUGUUUGGUCUGAAAUAAACAAAUGUGCACCU
ensembl:lncRNA